CCCUGAGGCGGAGAAACUUCCUGUGUGAAGUAAAGGAACUUUCCCUCUUCUCACAAAAAAAAGCAGAAAUGAGGAGGAUGCCACGAAGAGGAGCACCACUUUCAGUGAGAUCCUGGAACUCCUCGUGGCGCGGCCGAUGGGACCACAGACUGAUUCAAUGGGUUUCUAAUAGAAGCAACAUUGCUCUCAAGCAGCAUCCUCUUCAGUGCUCAGAAGAGAUCAACAAGAGCUUUAAGCCUUUGUUAAUAAAGCAAAAGACUGCAAUCAAUUAUAGAUGAAUGAACACUUAGCUUAACUGAUGAUUUCUGCGAUGUAAUAUAGAAAAUAAACAACUUUGAAUGUAAACAACAUCUAUGGGAAAAAAGACACGCUAAUCAACCCUCACUGUUACUAGACCGCAACUAUGCUACUGCUGUUGUGCAUUUGGUGAUACAACAUGUGAAAAUCCUCUACUCUCUUCAUUCAGAAGACGACACGCUCCAGUCUAAUUUGUCUGCAUGUGCUUCAGUCUGAGAUAAGCUGCAACCCAGAAGCCCAUUUGGAGGGCUCUUAUCUUCAUGACAGAUGCCCCCCCUGCGUGGCCAAGGCUCCAGCCGUCACACCGCCGGGUCAACGGUGGAUAACCAACACGCUGGAGCUGCGUUUGUAUAUAUUGUUAGAAAAAAACAGGUAGAAGACUUCUUUUAACCUCCCAACAGCAUCCUCAGUGGAGGUCAACAGUAUCUGCAAAAACAAUUAACCUGACGUUUCCUGGAGACAUUGAUGGCUGAUGAGCGCACGCGGACAUCCUGCUGGAUUCCCCCGACGGCGCCGCUUGUUUUUGUUGUUUUCUAGAGAACAAACUCCACUUAAACUAGUGAAUCUGCAAAAUAUAAGUCAAGACAGCCCGGAAACGAACAAUAAUGAUGCGGUUACAACAAUGAAACAGCAUGUCUUUCUAAAUUUUAAAAAUGUGAAUAAAUAAAUAACAUGGUAUUAAAAGA